GUGUUUGCUUUGACAGCACAUGUGCUAAAAUUGGAACAACACAGAGAAGAUUAGCAUGGCCCUUGCUCAAGGAUGACACGCAAAUUCGUGAAGUGUUCCAUAUUAAA
rnacentral:snRNA from 1 species